rnacentral:rRNA from 1 species
UACGUAGGGGGCUAGGGUUGUCCGGAUUUAUUGGGCGUAAAGAGCGCGUAGGCGGCCGAGUAAGUCCGACGUGAAAUCUGGAGGCUCAACCUCCAGCGGUCGUUGGAAACUACUCGGCUAGAGUCCGGAAGAGGAGAGUGGAAUUCCUGGUGUAGCGGUGAAAUGCGCAGAUAUCAGGAAGAACACCGAUGGCGAAAGCAGCUCUCUGGGACGGUAUUGACGCUGAGGCGCGAAAGCGUGGGGAGCGAACAGG